rnacentral:sRNA from 2 species
GUUAGUACCAUAAGUGAAAAAGUUACUUUAAAAUUUUGGUCUACACAAAAUUGUUAUGGGUUUCAUGUUAUGUUUCAGAUUUUAAAAACCAAUGGUUUCAGAUUUUGCGAAUAACUAAUCAAAACUUAAAGGAGGUUGAUAUAUUACCUUUUAAAUCAUGUUCACGGUAAAAUAUAUCUGCUUUCUUUUAGCUUUGAUUCGUUAUUGAAAACACUGAUA